rnacentral:rRNA from 1 species
AUUGAACGCUGGCGGCAGGCUUAACACAUGCAAGUCGAGCGGAGAAAGGUAGCUUGCUACUGAUCUUAGCGGCGGACGGGUGAGUAAUGCUUAGGAAUCUGCCUAUUAGUGGGGGACAACAUUUCGAAAGGAAUGCUAAUACCGCAUACGUCCUACGGGAGAAAGCAGGGGAUCUUCGGACCUUGCGCUAAUAGAUGAGCCUAAGUCGGAUUAGCUAGUUGGUGGGGUAAAGGCCUACCAAGGCGGCGAUCUGUAGCGGGUCUGAGAGGAUGAUCCGCCACACCGGGACUGAGACACGGCCCAGACUCCUACGGGAGGCAGCAGUGGGGAAUAUUGGACGAUGGGCGCAAGCCUGAUCCAGCCAUGCCGCGUGUGUGAAGAAGGCCUUAUGGUUGUAAAGCACUUUAAGCGAGGAGGAGGCUACUUUAGUUAAUACCUAGAGAUAGUGGACGUUACUCGCAGAAUAAGCACCAGCUAACUCUGUGCCAGCCGCCGCGGUAA